rnacentral:rRNA from 2 species
GGACUACUAGGGUAUCUAAUCCUGUUUGCUACCCACGCUUUCGUGCAUGAGCGUCAGUAUCGACCCAGGGGGCUGCCUUCGCCAUUGGUGUUCCUCCACAUCUCUACGCAUUUCACUGCUACACGUGGAAUUCCACCCCCCUCUGCCGUACUCUAGCCUUCCAGUCACAAGCGCAGUUCCCAGGUUGAGCCCGGGGAUUUCACGCCUGUCUUAAAAAACCGCCUGCGCACGCUUUACGCCCAGUAAUUCCGAUUAACGCUCGCACCCUACGUAUUACCGCGGCGGCUGGCAC